rnacentral:rRNA from 1 species
GACAGAGGUCUCAAGCGUUGUUCGGAUUCAUUGGGCGUAAAGGGUGCGUAGGUGGCAUGGUAAGUCGGAUGUGAAAUCCCGGGGCUCAACCCCGGAACUGCAUUCGAUACUGCUGCGCUAGAGUACUGGAGAGGAGAUUGGAAUUUACGGUGUAGCAGUGAAAUGCGUAGAUAUCGUAAGGAAGACCAGUGGCGAAGGCGGAUCUCUGGACAGUUACUGACACUGAGGCACGAAGGCCAGGGGAGCAAACGGG